rnacentral:rRNA from 1 species
GACGAACGCUGGCGGCGUGCUUAACACAUGCAAGUCGAACGCGCCUGUCCUCUGGGUUUCUGGGGGUCGGGUGGGUGGCGAACGGGUAAGAAACAGGUGAUUAACCUGCCCCUUUCUUCGGGAUACGGGUCUGAAAGGCCUGUUAAUACCGGGUAUUCCUUGUUCUCGGCAGGGGUUCGGGUGGAACGGUUUUUUUCUGUUGGGGGUUGGGUUCGCGGCCUAUCGAUUGGUUGGUGGGUUGGUGGCCCACCAAGGGUUUGACGGGGAGCCGGCCUGGGAGGGUGACCGGUCACAUUGGGACUGAGAUACGGCCCAGACUACGACGGGAGGCAGCAGUGGGGAAUAUUGCACAAUGGGCGCAAGCCUGAUGCAGCGACGCCGCGUGAGGGAUGGAGGCCUUCGGGUUGUGAACCUCUUUCGCCCGUGGUCAAGCCGCGACGUGGGUCGUGGUGAGGGUAGUGGGUAAAGAAGCGCCGGCUAACUACGUG